rnacentral:rRNA from 1 species
AUGAGAAUUUCCAUUGAUGAGUGCAAUGAAAGAACCGCUAGGAUGCGUGCUAAGAAAGAUUGCUUUGUGAAAGCGUGUUCUUCUAGUUUUUAUGAUAAUAAAGAUGAAGAUCUAAAAGUAAUUGAUGUGUCCCCUAUUAAAUCCUUGUUUUCCAAUAUGAAUCUUGAUAAUGAUGGGACUGGAGAUGAGUUAACUUUAGCUAGAAGGCGUCCCAAAAAUUCGGAGUUUUUAGAUCCUGAUGCAAAAAUUGAUAAAAGUGGGAUUGAAGAGGUUAAAACUUUAGAUAGCCAUGAACCCACUAUCUUGGAUUUCAAGGAAUUUAAUUAUGAUAAUUGCUCUUUGAUAGAUUAUAUUUCCUUGUUUCAAUCCAUGCUAAAUUCUCCUCAUGCUUAUAGUCAAAAUAAAGCUUUUACUAAACAUAUCAUUGAUGCUUUGAUACAAUCUUAUGAAGAAAACUUGAGUUGGAAGUUUCUAUCCCUAGAAAACUUUAUGAUGAGUGGGAAACUACAAUAA